rnacentral:rRNA from 1 species
AUUGAACGCUGGCGGAAUGCUUUACACAUGCAAGUCGAGCGGCAGCGCGGGGGCAACCCUGGCGGCGAGCGGCGAACGGGUGAGUAACAUAUCGGAACGUACCCCGUCGUGGGGGAUAACACAGCGAAAGCUGUGCUAAUACCGCAUACGACCUGAGGGUGAAAGCGGGGGAUCGCAAGACCUCGCGCGAUGGGAGCGGCCGAUAUCGGAUUAGCUUGUUGGUGAGGUAAAGGCUCACCAAGGCGACGAUCCGUAGCUGGUCUGAGGAGGACGACCAGCCACACUGGAACUGAGACACGGUCCAGACUCC